rnacentral:rRNA from 1 species
UACGGAGGGGGCUAGCGUUGUUCGGAAUUACUGGGCGUAAAGCGCACGUAGGCGGCUUUGCAAGUCAGAGGUGAAAGCCCGGGGCUCAACCCCGGAAUUGCCUUUGAGACUGCAUCGCUAGAAUUGUGGAGAGGUAAGUGGAAUUCCGAGUGUAGAGGUGAAAUUCGUAGAUAUUCGGAAGAACACCAGUGGCGAAGGCGGUCUGCUGGGCCAGUACUGACGCUGAGGCGCGACAGCGUGGGGAGCAAACAGG